rnacentral:rRNA from 1 species
UACGGGGGGGGCAAGCGUUGUUCGGAAUUACUGGGCGUAAAGGGCUCGUAGGCGGCCAGCUAAGUCGGACGUGAAAUCCCCAGGCUCAACCUGGGAAUUGCGUCCGAUACUGGAUGGCUUGAAUCCGGGAGAGGGAUGCAGAAUUCCAGGUGUAGCGGUGAAAUGCGUAGAUAUCUGGAGGAAUACCGGUGGCGAAGGCGGCAUCCUGGACCGGCAUUGACGCUGAGGAGCGAAAGCCAGGGGAGCAAACGGG